rfam:Triticum aestivum genome assembly, contig: Triticum_aestivum_CS42_TGACv1_scaffold_093319_2AL
UUAAUACUCCUUCCGUCCGGAAAUACUUGUUCUCGAAAUGGUUGUAUCUAGACUUAUUUUAGUUAUAGAUAUAUCCAUUUCAUUCAUUUAUAGGACAAGUAUUUCCGGACGAAGGAAGUAUAAA